rnacentral:rRNA from 1 species
UGGCGGACGGGUGAGUAACACGUGAGCAACCUGCCUUUCAUGGGGGACAACAGUUGGAAACGACUGCUAAUACCGCAUAACGUGCCGGAAGGGCAUCCUUUUGGUACCAAAGAUUUAUCGCUGAAAGAUGGGCUCGCGUCUGAUUAGAUAGUUGGUGAGGUAACGGCCCACCAAGUCGACGAUCAGUAGCCGGACUGAGAGGUUGGCCGGCCACAUUGGGACUGAGAUACGGCCCAGACUCCUACGGGAGGCAGCAG